UCAAGAAACUUCCACAAUGGGCGAAAGCCUGAUGGAGCGACGUCGCGUGAUGGACGAAGUGCUUCGGCACGUAAACAUCUUUUUAUGUGGGAUGAAAUUAUUGACAGUACCACAUGAAUAAGGGGCUCCUAACUCUGUGCCAGCAGGAGCGGUAAUACAGAGGCCCCAAGCGUUAUCCGGAAUCACUGGGCGUAAAGGGUGUCGAGGCGGUUGUAUUAGUCGUUCGUAAAAUCUACGAGCUUAACUUGUAGGCGGCGAACGAAACGGUACGACUUGAGGUUUGGAGAGGUGCGUGGAACUCACGGUGUAGGGGUGAAAUCCGUUGAUAUCGUGGGGAACACCAAGGCGAAGGCAGCGCACUGGCCAAAAUCUGACGCUCACACACGAAAGCUAGGGUAGCGAAGAGGAUUAGAUACCCUUGUAGUCCCUGAGCGGGCUGGCAAGGCGCAU
rnacentral:rRNA from 1 species